ensembl:lncRNA
UGAGUGCAAGGCUGGAUAGUUUCUGUACAUGUUUUGCAGUUCAGUAUCUGAAAUUAUUUAGCAGUAUUUAGCAGCAACGACUCAUCUGCACUCUUUAUACACAGGCAGUGUGUUCAGUGAAGAGAAGGGGAUGAAAGAAGUUGAUUAAGACGUACCACUUUAAUUAACCAAAUGUCCCCAGGAACAGGAAUAUAGAGCUGCUUUUGAAUCCCGUUCUGAUUUACAGUCUGGAGGGGAUCGAUAAUACCUGCACAAAAAAAGGAGAGUACCACAGAAAGUGUGUCUGACAGUGUCUGUUGUGUUGCCAGUAUAGUUUGCUGAGGACAAGAGGUAUUGUGUCAAAUUCCUUCUCUGAAUAAGGAGGCUUCAUUCAUCACACAGAAAGGGAAGGCUGUAUAAACAUAGAUGUAGGAGACAGUCCCACCUUGGUCUCCACAGUACACCUGUUUACCUGGAAGAACUGCUGUGUGCAGAGAAGGCUGUGACAGCUAGAAGAGGCCUCAAAAGAGUAUCUAAUAUGCACUUGUGAGUGUACAUUUGAAGCAGAACCAUCAAGAAGCAGCGGGAGAAAGUGGAAUAUGCGUGCUGAAAACCUGCUACACUACACCAGCUGCUUCAUCCUGGUUUUAAUUUUAUUUCUGUUCUUUCUCUCCUUGCCAGUAGGGAAGGCUGAGUAAUGUCAGUGUCUUCCCAGUCAUCUUUAUCACUAACGAUCAUUCUGUGUGGCCUAUGUUAAUCAUUCUCACCUGUCUUCAUCUCUCACUAUUAGAUUAAUAGUUGCCAAUUAUGCAUACUCCCCUCUGCACAGCUAUUGUUUACACACUCUGUAAUUCUCUUCAUUAGACCAGUGAGUGGGCAUAAUUAUGGUUAUAAGUUAUCCAUUCAUUUUCUUAAGGACAGUGAGAAAUUUAGUACAACAAGUGUUUGGUUUCAUGAUAACAUCUUGGACUAAUAAGAAGGAAGCUCAGGCAUUAUAGAGUCCUAUCGUAUGCUGUGGGGAAAAUAAAAAGUCUCUUGCUCAGCAUGGAUUUUCUAAGAGUAAAUACCUUGUGAUUUCAGAAAUUUUAGGUGGAACAUGCAGACAACUAUACACUAUUGCCUUGGUCCUCACCACUUUCCAUUUUAACGGGAAAAAAAUAUGAAAGAUAACUUUAGUUUUCUAGCAAGUAAUAGCCAAGACCGACAAUGAGUAGUGGCAAGGUGCUCAGUUUUUCAGCAUUUUUGAUAAAAGCUGGAGUCUAAAGGAGAUAGAAGGUACACACAUGGGGGGCAUUGUUUAUUAGCUGAGAUGAGCAAUCAGAAAGUUCAAUUAUAAGUCAGUUAAAAGUCUCAGUUAGUUUUAAGGAUCACAUCUUAAAUGGAUUAGUUCUGUAAGAAAAUUACUGUGGUCAUCUGAACCGUUACAUGUCUCUGUUUAAGGUGUCUAACUUUCUCUAUUUGUUUAGUAUCUCAUUUAUACAAGAGAUAGUAACGACAAACAUUUAGUUCAUAUUUCUCAUUAGCAGAUUUUCUCAAAUAAAAAUAGUGAGCGUAUUGAACAGUUAAUAAGGAAGUGGAAAUCUCUCCAUAAUUGCAAUCAAAAGUUUAUUUACAAAUAAGGUGGAUUCCCCAGUCCAGAAAGAAAAGGCUGAAUAUUUUGUAAUUAAUUAUUUUUAUCUGAUGCUCUCAUUUGAUCAACAUAUACAAUCAUAAUGCACCAAUAAAUGAAACAUCAUGUUAAUAAUCCUUUUAUCUAAUGGGAAGCAGACUAAGCUAGAGUAAUGUUACUACAGUAAGCAAGUCAGAAAUGUUUUCUUAGCUUUUUGUGCUAGCUGCUAAAUUAGUAGCUUUUAAGUCAUCUCUAUUUCAUAUUUAAGAAAAAAUCUCAAUUUAGGGACCUUACAUUAAUUUCAGAUUCUGUUCUUCAAAGAGUUUCAACUACCUUCUCUCAUUUCACAGAAUACUUAAGUUGACAGGAAAGUCAUCUGAUCCUCAAGCAGGGCCAUCUAGAACAGUUCACCCAGAACCACACAUGGACAGCUUUUGAAGAUCUCCAGAGAGGAAGAACCCAUAAUCUCUCUGAGCACCCCACGCCAGUGUUCUGUCACCCACACAAUAAAGAAGUUUUUCUGAUACUCUAGAAUUUCUGAUGCUAUAGUAUGCAUUUGUCACAUUACUUGCUUGUUCAAACAGAACUUUUUUUCUACUACUAUGCCUCCGUAUCUUUUAUAUAGUCUAUACAGUUUGUACAUCAUGGCAGAUUGUAUCUUAGCGUGUUACUUCCAUUGAUUAGUUUCCAUGGUUGCAAGCAUUAUACAUGGUAGAGCUCAGUAAAUGCAAACCCUUGAAUAGUUCCUUUAAGCUAUAUAUUGCGAGGGGAAGGAGAAGGAAUAAAUCAGUUAGGAUAUCUUCUGUGCCAUCUAUUGUGAUUAAAGUCUUGUUUGCACAAAGUGGUUCAUUAUUUCUUCUGUGAGCCAUGGUUUAGACUUUCUUGUAGAAGGGAGUAUCCAUAAAGAUGGAUCUCCCUCAAAUCUCAGCCAGAACAGGAUCAGUUCAAAUGAUGAAAGCAAGAAUAGUUGUAACACAUGGAAAAACAUCAAAACUCAAAACCAAAAAGUAAUUGAUCCAAAACACCAAGAAUAAUGAUGUUUUCAUUAAAAUGAAAGUAGAACACACAGGUAAAUCCACAGAAUAUAGGAAUAUCUAAUACCAAACAUGCUUGACAUGCUCAACAAGAGACUGCUUUAUUCUUUGAUGGAAAGCUGGGACUGAAUCUGAUAUGUGCAGAAUAAUAGUGGUGGUGAUAAAUGGUUCAAAAGACAUGGAAACCAAAUAUCCUAUAAAUUAAUAUAUAAUUCAAGAAACGAUAUUCACUGAUCAAUUAAAGAGGCUGAUUGCAAAGCGUCUAUAGCAUAUGUGAAAAUGUUUUGAUAAAUACUAUGUACCUCUUUUCAGUUCAUUUGGGCUAGAAGAUUCUCAAAUGGCUUACAACUGAAUAAAGAUGGCAUUAAAAAAG